rnacentral:lncRNA from 1 species
AAAUUAGCACUUGGAAGGUGUAAAAGAAUUUGAAUAUAUAAUAGAAUAAACACAUAUAUGACACUCUGCUCCAGGUCUUAUUUUUAAAUUUUUAUACAUAUUGUUUAAUUUUCAGGUCAAUUUUAUGAAAAGGCAAUAUUAUUAUCUCCACUUAACAGAUGUAGUCACAGAGACUCAAAGUGAGUAACCACAAAGAAUAGUAAGUGGCAGCUCUGGGAUUUGAAUACAGGCUGUCUGGUUCCAGAGUGAAGUUCUUAAGUACUACAUCAGGUUGCCUCAACAGGCUGAAUGUCAGCCAAGAGUAAUGAGAUAGUAUAAGCAAACAUACAGGAUAGGAAGCUCCCUGCCUUAUUUGGAAGACAGCAAAGAGAUCACUCUCUAAUUAAUGAUUUGAGUUGGGACUUGUGGGAGAUACUGGCAAGGGUUCAGAGCUAAUAAAAUUGACCAUCCUACACUGAGUAACUCUGAUGUGUAUGAUUACAAUUUAAUGGGAUUUGAAAAGAAUAACGAGAUGAGAACCAGAAAUGAUGAGUACCAUUACAUCAAUAGAAGAUGCUGAAUUUUUUUUACCAGCUGAUCAAUAAAUGCAUUAAAUGAAUACAAUCAGUAAUUUUAUUUACCCCAUUUUUAUAAGAAAAAAAUUAC